ensembl:lncRNA
CUCGAGAUAAAACUCAUUAUAAAUUUCAGUUAGCGAACUCAACCAUCUGCAGGACUCACACCAGAUGAGUCAGAUAUAAAAUAGAACAAGACACAGCAGUUUGAGCUUAUUCAAAUUACAACUAAUGGACUUAAGAAAUCUUUAAUUAGCGACGUGAACAACGUGACAAUGACCUACCUCUGGCCAUGCUGGAAAGUGCUGUGACCGGAGCACACGUGCACGCACCUACGUCAUCACACGGUUCACCACCACACACGCACACAGCCUCAGAACACACAGGCAGGAGAUUAAAACCAGAGCCCUUGUGAGUAAGUCCCAGUCGUGUUAGGAAAGGUUCAGGAUUCGGGGUUGUCAUGUGGAUCAUGUAGCCUUCACAUUUCAACUGCUUAGUGGGCAGUUGAAAUGUGUUUUUUCUUUUUGUGAAAUGUGCUUUUUUGUAUUUUUUUUUUUUUUACCUGAUUUUUGUAUCUAAGAAAAAUGAGAGCCACAUAUGAGGAUAUUAGUUUAAAAUUUCGAUAGAACAGUAGAAGUAUAACAUCAGGCCCUUGUAGAGCAAAACUGAGUAUUUUUGUCUAAAUAACCCAAAAUGUGAUGUCCACAUUUGUGGAUGCCAGGUCCUAGGAGGUUAAAAAUUCACCUUCUAAGCUGCUUAGCACCGGCUACUGUAUGUCGAUAACUUUUAGAACUAUUGCGACCAGACAUUACGAACGGACAUUACGUGUCUCUGUCAUGGUCCUGGGUCGGUGACCCAGCGCUUUAAGUUUAUUAUUAUCAUUUUCCAAUUUAUUAUCAUGAUUAUUAUUGUUGUUUGAGUUCUACGGUCUGCCUCUGAGUCUGCGUCUGUAUCUGUCUGUCUAUUGUGUCACCCCGUCUGUUUGUGAAUCUGUCUGUUUAGUUCAAUGUCUUGUCUGGUUCCAUGUGUCUGAGUUUCCUGUUUUAUUGUGAAGGUCUGUGUCGUAUGUGAGUGUGCUCGGUUUACGUUUCCCCUGUCUCGUCAGCUGUGAUUUCUCCCAGGUGUGUUCCCCUCCUGUCUCUCAUCCCUUGAUUACUGCUAUCUGUGUAUUUAAGCCCUGUUGUAGUGUUCUGUUGCAGAGUGUAGCAACUCCGAUAAAAAAACCAAGCUAAACCUCUGUCAAUGAAUACACGAGUCCGAGUAGAGUUGACCUUUUACUCAGAAUCUUCAUUUGACAAGCGGUGAAAAGGCGUUGCCUGAACAAUGUUCCCAAGU